rnacentral:lncRNA from 1 species
UAGCUUAUUUUUCAUAAGGAAACAUAAUAUGCAGAGUAUCACAGCAAAAGGCGAACCAGUUACAUGUAUGGAGACACAUAACCGUGAGUAUAUUACUUGAUUCAUAUUUAAAGUAACUUCACAUCAAGACUUUAUCGAUAAAAAGGAAAUACGAUAAAGUAAAUACGUCAUCUAACGAUCCCCCACCAGCACCAGACCAAUCUCACUCCUCGCUUAGCCUGCACAUUUAGAAAUACAUGCAGGGCGUGAGUAUAUAAUACUCAGUGGGCAAACGCCGAAAAACAAGAAAGGCGCUCUUAGAGCUAUAAGUUUGAAGCUUGCCACAACUCAGCAAUACACAGAAAUAAGUUAGUAUCAAUGAAUCUGUGCAUGCAGUUUUCAUAAUCAACAUCAUAAAUAAGUAACUGCGCAGUUUAAACAUUCAUCAUGUAUGUACCACAUCCACUACUCAUCAUCAAAGGUACUGAGAAGUAGGCCUCCCUCUCAAGUACCGUGACCGGCCGACCCGAGACGGCUCACAGUCACCUCUGUGCACAAAAUCCCGCUUGUGGCAGGACCGAAUUCGUCUCAUCAGUAGAGGGUAACACACAAGCUCAACAUCGAAAAUUGGCAAGUCAAACAGUUCUCAAACAUCAUUUAUCUCAAAACAUUUGAUAAGUUCUUAACAUCAUUACAUCAUUUUAGAAAGCUCAUAUGAUAAACAUAUACUCAAAAUAUUGCCCACCUGAAGACCUUACUCAAAAACUCCCGUCAAAGUGGAGUUACUUACUUCCUUGCUCUGCUCGUGUCUUCAGGGAUCAUCGUCAUCAUCGAAGGUUCAUGUCAUAAAAUGAAUCCCGAUUAGAAACUCAACGACAAAAACUCA